GACGAACGCUGGCGGCGCGCCUAACACAUGCAAGUCGAACGGAGCUGAGAGAAGCUUGCUUUUCUUAGCUUAGUGGCGAACGGGUGAGUAACGCGUGAGUAACCUGCCCUGGAGUGGGGGACAACAGUUGGAAACGACUGCUAAUACCGCAUAAGCCCACGAUCCGGCAUCGGAUUGAGGGAAAAGGAUUUAUUCGCUUCAGGAUGGACUCGCGUCCAAUUAGCUAGUUGGUGAGGUAACGGCCCACCAAGGCGACGAUUGGUAGCCGGACUGAGAGGUUGAACGGACACAUUGGGACUGAGACACGGCCCAGACUCCUACGGGAGGCAGCAGUGGGGGAUAUUGCACAAUGGGGGAAACCCUGAUGCAGCGACGCCGCGUGGAGGAAGAAGGUUUUCGGAUUGUAAACUCCUGUCGUUAGGGACGAUAAUGACGGUACCUAACAAGAAAGCACCGGCUAACUACGUG
rnacentral:rRNA from 1 species